GUAGGUCAGUGGUAGAGCGUCGGCUCUGCAUGCCAAAGGUCCCAGGUUCAAUGCCCUGCAGUUCCA